rnacentral:rRNA from 1 species
GGCCUACCAAGACUAUGAUGUGUAGCCGGGCUGAGAGGUUGAACGGCCACAUUGGGACUGAGACACGGCCCAAACUCCUACGGGAGGCGGCAGUAGGGAAUUUUCGGCAAUGGAGGAAACUCUGACCGAGCAACGCCGCGUGAACGAUGAAGUAUUACGGUACGUAAAGUUCUUUUAUUAGGGAAGAAUAAAUGAUGGAAAAAUCAUUCUGACGGUACCUAAUGAAUAAGCCCCGGCUAACUAUGUGCCAGCAGCCGCGGUAAUACAUAGGGGGCAAGCGUUAUCCGGAAUUAUUGGGCGUAAAGGGUGCGUGGGCGGUUAAAUAAGUUUAUGGUCUAAGUGCAAUGCUCAACAUUGUGAUGCUAUAAAAACUGUUUAGCUAGAGUAAGAUAGAGGCAAGUGGAAUUCCAUGUGUAGUGGUAAAAUGCGUAAAUAUAUGGAGGAACACCAGUAGCGAAGGCGGCUUGCUGGGUCUUCACUGACGCUGAGGCACGAAAGCGUGGGGAGCAAACAGGAUUAGAUACCCUGGUAGUCCACGCCGUAAACGAUGAGUACUAAACGUUGGGUAAAACCAGUGUUGAAGUUAACACAUUAAGUACUCCGCCUGAGUAGUACGUACGCAAGUAUGAAACUUAAAGGAAUUGACGGGACUCCGCACAAGCGGUGGAUCAUGUUGUUUAAUUCGAAGGUACCCGAAAAACCUUACCAGGUCUUGACAUGCUUCUGCAAAGCUGUAGAAACACAGUGGAGGUUAUCAGUUGCACAGGUGGUGCAUGGUUGUCGUCAGCUCGUGUCGUGAGGUGUUGGGUUAAGUCCCGCAACGAGCGCAGCCCUUAUUGUUAGUUACCAGCACGUAAUGGUGGGGACUUUAGCAAGACUGCCAGUGAUAAAUUGGAGGAAGGUGGGGACGACGUCAAAUCAUCAUGCCCCUUAUGACCUGGGCUACAAACGUGAUACAAUGGCUGUUACAAAGGGUAGCUGAAGCGCAAGUUUUUGGCGAAUCUCAAAAAAACAGUCUCAGUUCGGAUUGAAGUCUGCAACUCGACUUCAUGAAGUGGAAUCGCUAGUAAUC